GCGGUAAUUCCAGCUCCAAUAGCGUAUAUUAAAGUUGCUGCAGUUAAAAAGCUCGUAGUUGGAUCUCGGUAGCACUGUUGCUCGUCAGUCCUUGGGCGAGAGGCUAUGUGUGCAUGGGUUAAGCCCGUGUUGCCGUGGCCGCUCUGCUCGAGUUGGCGAUGCGGUGGUGUCACCUUUCAGCCAUGUCUGUGGUGAAAUACCCGCAGGUGUAGGCGAGUGUCGGGCGGCGCCUUGCAUUCGUAGGGCUCGUCGGCUCGUCUGCAUGCCUUUGGAUGCCCUUUAAAAGGUGUCUGUGGGCGGAUGGCACGUUUACUUUGAACAAAUUUGAGUGCUCAAACCAGGCCGAUGUUGCCUGAAAAGUUUUGCAUGGAAUAAUGGAAUAGGACUUCGGUUCUAUUUCGUUGGUUUUCGGAUCCGAAGUAAUGAUCAAAAGAGACAGGCGGGGACGUUUGUAUGGCUGCGCUAGAGGUGAAAUUCAUGGACCGUAGCCAGACAAACUAAAGCGAAAGCAUUCGUCAAGCAUGUUUUCAUUGGCCAUGAGCGAAAGUCAGAGGCUCGAAGACGAUCAGAUACCGUCCUAGUUCUGACCAUAAACGA
rnacentral:rRNA from 1 species